rnacentral:tRNA from 2 species
GCGGACAUAGCUCAGUUGGGAGAGCGUCAGACUGAAGUCAACUUCAAUCACUAAAUCUGAAGGUCGUGUGUUCAAUCCACACUGGCCGCA